rnacentral:rRNA from 2 species
GUGCUUAACACAUGCAAGUCGAACGGAAAGGCCCUUCGGGGUACUCGAGUGGCGAACGGGUGAGUAACACGUGGGUGAUCUGCCCCGCACUUUGGGAUAAGCCUGGGAAACUGGGUCUAAUACCGAAUAUGACCGCGCUCUUCAUGGGGUGUGGUGGAAAGCUUUUGCGGUGUGGGAUGAGCCCGCGGCCUAUCAGCUUGUUGGUGGGGUAAUGGCCUACCAAGGCGACGACGGGUAGCCGGCCUGAGAGGGUGACCGGCCACACUGGGACUGAGAUACGGCCCAGACUCCUACGGGAGGCAGCAGUGGGGAAUAUUGCACAAUGGGCGCAAGCCUGAUGCAGCGACGCCGCGUGAGGGAUGACGGCCUUCGGGUUGUAAACCUCUUUCAGCACAGACGAAGCGCAAGUGACGGUAUGUGCAGAAGAAGGACCGGCCAACUACGUGCCAGCAGCCGCGGUAAUACGUAGGGUCCGAGCGUUGUCCGGAAUUACUGGGCGUAAAGAGCUCGUAGGUGGUUUGUCGCGUUGUUCGUGAAAUC